UACGGAGGGUGCAAGCGUUAUCCGGAUUCACUGGGUCUAAAGGGUGCGUAGGUGGCUUUGUAAGUCAGUGGUGAAAUGCCGGAGCUUAACUCCGGAACUGCCAUUGAUACUGCUUAGCUUGAAUCACGUCGAGGUGGAUGGAAUAUUACAUGUAGCGGUGAAAUGCUUAGAUAUGUAAUAGAACACCGAUUGCGAAGGCAGUUCACUAGGCGUGUAUUGACACUGAGGCACGAAAGCGUGGGGAUCAAACAGG
rnacentral:rRNA from 1 species